AGAUUGAACGCUGGCGGCGUGCUUAACACAUGCAAGUCGUGCGAGAAAGGGGACUUCGGUCCCUGAGUAGAGCGGCGCACGGGUGAGUAACGCGUGGAUCAUCUGCCCAACUGUUCGGGAUAACGGCGGGAAACUGCCGCUAAUACCGGAUACGAAUCAAUUUCGGUUGAUUGAAAGGCGGCCUCUGCUUGCAAGCUGUCGCUGUUGGAUGAGUCCGCGUCCCAUUAGCUUGUUGGUGGGGUAAUGGCCUACCAAGGCUACGAUGGGUAGCUGGUCUGAGAGGAUGAUCAGCCACACUGGAACUGAAACACGGUCCAGACUCCUACGGGAGGCAGCAGUGGGGAAUAUUGCGCAAUGGGGGAAACCCUGACGCAGCGACGCCGUGUGAGGGAAGAAGGCUUUCGGGUCGUAAACCUCUGUCGGGAAGGAAGAACCCCUUAGGGCCAAAUAAGCCCUGAGGCUGACGGUACUUCCAAAGGAAGCGACCGGCUAACUCCGUGUCAGCAGC
rnacentral:rRNA from 1 species